rnacentral:rRNA from 1 species
UUAUAUUCCUUUUUAUCAAAAGAUAAAAAGGGAAAGAUUUAUUGGUAAGAGAUUAGCCUGUAUUGUAUCAGUUAGUUGGUGGGGUAAUGGCCUACCAAGACGAUGACGCCUAACUGGUUUGAGAGGAUGAUCAGUCACACUGGAACUGAGACACGGUCCAGACUCCUACGGGAGGCAGCAGUGGGGAAUAUUGCACAAUGGACGAAAGUCUGAUGCAGCAACGCCGCGUGGAGGAUGACACAUUUCGGUGCGUAAACUCCUUUUAUAUAAGAAGAUAAUGACGGUAUUAUAUGAAUAAGCACCGGCUAACUCCGUGCCAGCAGCCGCGGUAAUACGGAGGGUGCAAGCGUUACUCGGAAUCACUGGGCGUAAAGAGCGUGUAGGCGGAUUGAUAAGUUUGAAGUGAAAUCCUAUAGCUUAACUAUAGAACUGCUUUGAAAACUGUUAAUCUAGAAUGUGGGAGAGGUAGAUGGAAUUUCUGGUGUAGGGGUAAAAUCCGUAGAGAUCAGAAGGAAUACCGAUUGCGAAGGCGAUCUACUGGAACAAUAUUGACGCUGAGACGCGAAAGCGUGGGGAGCAAACAGGAUUAGAUACCCUGGUAGUCCACGCCCUAAACGAUGUACACUAGUUGUUGUGAGGCUCGACCUUGCAGUAAUGCAGUUAACACAUUAAGUGUACCGCCUGGGGAGUACGGUCGCAAGAUUAAAACUCAAAGGAAUAGACGGGGACCCGCACAAGCGGUGGAGCAUGUGGUUUAAUUCGACGAUACACGAAGAACCUUACCUGGACUUGACAUAGUAAGAAUGAUUUAGAGAUAGAUUAGUGUCUGCUUGCAGAAACUUGCAUACAGGUGCUGCACGGCUGUCGUCAGCUCGUGUCGUGAGAUGUUGGGUUAAGUCCCGCAACGAGCGCAACCCUCGUCCUUAGUUGCUAACAGUUCGGCUGAGAACUCUAAGGAGACUGCCUACGCAAGUAGGAGGAAGGUGAGGAUGACGUCAAGUCAUCAUGGCCCUUACGUCCAGGGCUACACACGUGCUACAAUGGGGUAUACAAAGAGCAGCAAUACGGUGACGUGGAGCAAAUCUCAAAAAUGCCUCCCAGUUCGGAUUGUAGUCUGCAACUCGACUACAUGAAGUUGGAAUCGCUAGUAAUCG